CUUUUCGUUUAGGAUACUAACAUAGAGUGUGUCUUUGUGUUGCAGGAAUCAUUUUUUAUAAUAAAAACGUUGUUAGUAGAUUUUGACUUCGAACAUGUCAUUGAUCUUCACAUGAAAACCACUCAAGAAUUUUGAAGAUAAUGGAGUUCUUUCUCUUUGGGUUUAAAGGUUUAUCAGGAUGGAUGACUUGAAGUCGGCCAUAAGAGUAUGGUAUGAGAGAUGAAGUCUAGCAUGCAUCAAGAAGUCAGAGCAUAAGUUGAUACAAGAUAAC